UACGUAGGUGGCAAGCGUUAUCCGGAUUUAUUGGGUUUAAAGGGUGCGUAGGCGGUCCGUUAAGUCAGCGGUAAAAUUGCGGGGCUCAACCCCGUCGAGCCGUUGAAACUGGCAGACUUGAGUUGGCGAGAAGUACGCGGAAUGCGCGGUGUAGCGGUGAAAUGCAUAGAUAUCGCGCAGAACUCCGAUUGCGAAGGCAGCGUACCGGCGCCAGACUGACGCUGAGGCACGAAAGCGUGGGGAUCGAACAGG
rnacentral:rRNA from 1 species